UUUAUCUGUUUUUAUUCUCAUUUUAUUGAAAUCCUGAUUUUGGUAUUACUUAAACCCUCAAGUUCUUUUAGACUAGAGUAAAAACAAACAUUCUUGAUAUUUGAUGAUUAUUUUAAAACCAUCCAUGAAUGGCCAACUUUUAUAUGAAUAAAAUAUAAUCGACAUUAAAAUUAUACUGAGCAUGGUGUAAUCUUCGUCUAAUUAUUCAAAUUGCAUUUUGGAUCUUGUCAUAAUUCCAGGAUAUUAUCAUUAGUAUAAAUUAGUAUUAAGUAAAUAUCAGUUGGAGAGGUCCCGUUGUGGCCCAGGGGAAACAAAUCCAAUUAGGAAACAUGAGGUUGCCGGUUUGAUCCCUGGCCUUGCUCAGUGGGUUAAGGAUCCAGCGUUGCUGUGAGCUGUGGUGUAUGCCACAGAUGUAGCUCGGAUCCUGUGUUAGCUGUGGCAUAGGCCAGCAGCUGUAGCUCUGGUUAGAUUCCUAGUCUGGGAACUUCCAUAUGCCGUGGGUGCACCCCUAAAAAGCAAAAGCAAAAAAAAAAGGUGGAAUAUCAAUUAAUAUCAGCUACAAAAGUAUAGAAAUGCCAGUUAAAGAUUUCAAAUGACAAUGGUCAUGGUGUUGAUAUAAUGAAAAUGAAGACUAUUUGUCUACUGAUUCAUUCAGUAAAGAUGGAUGAGUGCUUCUCUGUACCAGGUGAAUGAAGUCCACGUUCGAAAGGGGGGGUUGUUUUGGUCUGAAUUGUGUCCCUCCUCAUUCAUACGCUGAAGUCCUAACCCCUAGUAGCUCAGAAUGUGAUCUCAUUUGGAGAGAGAGUCUUUAGCGAGGUAACUGAGUAAAAACAAGGUCAGCGGGUGGGCCCUAGCCCGAUAUGACUGUGUCCUUCUACGCAGGAAGCUUGGACACAGAGGCUCACAUAGAGGGAAGAUGCUAUGCAGAGACACAGGAGAAGACGGCCAUCUACAAGCCCGGGAGAGAGGCCUGUCACAGCUCCUUCCCACAAGGAACCGACCCUGCUGAUUGGUUAAUUUUGACCAAUUCGACCUUGCUGAACCUUAAUUUUGGACUUCCAGCCUCCAGCACUGGGAGAGAAUAGAUUUCUGUUGUUUAAGCCACUCUGUUUGUGGUACCUUGUCUCCAAAACCCUAGCAAACUGCUCCAGGAGGAACGGGCUUGGAGAGGGGAUGGAAGCUAAUGGGUUCAAGGAACAGAAAGGAUCCAGUUCAGCAGAGCCCAGUGGGUCAGGGAGACAGGGGAGUGCAGGAUUUGGGGGGGUGUGUGUAAACUAUUACCCCCCUGUGAAUGGAAGGCGUGGCUCUCUUCCUUGAGUUCAGAGCCAGGCCUGAGGAUGUGGAAUGGGAUAAGCUACUAGAAGAAAGAGACCUCAAAAUAGAGUGGCUUAAUUAGGGGAGAGGUUUGAGUUUCUUCCACCCAAUGGAGCAGAGGAGGGGAGCGGUCUAGAUCUGGAAGGACUGGAUGCUGGUAGGACGGAGCUGCCAUCUUCCACCGCGGCUUCCUUCCCCGGGCCUGAGGCAGCUACUCCCGGAGGUGCCACUCCUCGCCAGGUGACAGCAGGGGAAGACAGAACAGAGGCCUGGAGCUUCCAUAUAAAAAACCAUGAUCUGCAAGGUGCAUGCAUGGCUUCUGUUCUCAAACCCUUGGCAGGAGCACAGCCGCGUGACCACACCUGCUGCCAUGGAGUCUAAGACAGGGGGGGCUCUAGCGAUCACUUGAGGGGUCCAAUUGCCAAGAGUUCCCUGCCAACUCAGAGAACUGUGUUUCUAGAAAGAGAAAGAGAGACUAGCCUCUGGGGAACAAUCAGCAGCCUCUGUCGCAGCCCAACCUGUUAGCUGGAAGGCUGGACUCAUCUCUUGCUCUUCCUGCAAGGCUCCAGGAUGGCAGAGGUGGCAUUCGAAAUGGACUGUCUGUUGUCUGCUGUCAUCCCUCCAAUGAGUUCCCAAAAAGAGCUCUUCCAAUGAGAUGGCUGGCCAGAGCGUGGGUGCCGAGGCCUGUCUAGUUCACUUCCAGCACAUCCCUGAAAAAUCUCCCCACCUCGCCCACAAGAAGCCCUCUGUGGUCACGGUGCUUUCUGCCACUUGGUCCUUGUCUUGCAUCCUUCAUGCCCAGGAACUACCAGGGGCAGGUCGUUUAUGUGUCUGGCACGCGCUGCAGCUCUUCAGCAUUUGGAACUUUAUUGCAUGUCAGAAGCAUUUUUUAAUACUGCUGUUAAUAAUAGUACCUAGCAGGGGCGGACAGGCAAGAACGUGUCAGAAGGCAGUGGUUCCCAUUACUGUGCUUUCAUUGUUCCCUGGAACAUGACAGACGGGAUCAAUUCAGGCUUGCCUUUUCAGUUCUCCUACUCAGGUUACUGAUCCCAUUACUAGAAGUCCUGCUUUGCUGGCGUCCGUAGAAACAUGCCACAAAUACAGUGUGUGGGGUGUUCUCAUGCUCCACUGAUGCAGGCUGAGAUGGAAAAUUUGGUGUCUGUGCAAGAAAAAGGUUCCAACUCCAUAGCCCGAGGGUGUCUUGAAGUGAGGGCACAAAGACUGGAUACGGGCUAAAUCUUGCCUGCCUUCUUGGGUGCAAAAUGGAAAAGGACAAGCAGAGAAAGCAAAAUCACCUGCCUUUUGAUCUGUUCCUCCACCUCUCAUUCUUUAAAAGUUUUCUCUGUCCAGGACCGUAAACAUUGAUAUAAAUUGCUAACCUUAUUGAAUUCGAGUUUAUGUCAAGAACUGUGCAGGGAGCUUUCCAUGAAUUAGCUUCUUUGAACUUCACAGCAACUUACUGCUAUAGGUACUGUGGGUAUUCCCAUUUUACAGAUGAGGAAAAUGAGAGUUGGAGAUGUUUGGGUUAUGUGUUUACUAUAGCACAGCUGACAAGGGCAGAGCCAGUAUCUGAACCCAGGUCUUUGUGACCCCAGAGCCUGCACCGGUAACUCCAAUUCCUUAUUGCCUGUUAAGAUGAGCAGAGAAGAUUGCAAUUUCCAGUUGUUUCUUCCCACCAUAGCCUGGUACCUAAUGGCCAUCCCUACUGAGAAAAGCACAGGGCACCCCAGUCUGGCAAAGCCCCUUCCUCUCCCCUGAACUACACUGAUGUAGACAGGUCCUCCCAUCCUCCUCCCUUCACGACUCUGAUUCCAGAUGCACCAGGUUGCUAGUCUUCCCCCUGGUUAGUUACUGGGUCCUACAGUACUGUUUUCCCACACUGCUCCACCCAUGCUUCAGCUGCCACAUAGGCAUCGUGUUGUCUUUGGUGGCUGGCCUAAGACCCCAGGUCAGGGGGCCGCACCCUGAGGUCUGAGCCAGGGACACACACAACAUAUGAGGGCCCCACUUAUUGUUGAUGGGGGUCUCCUAUGGUCCUGCCAUAAGGAAUUGAGUCUGCAAAAACACCACCUUGCAAAACAUGUGCUGAGAGUGAUCACGCUCUAAAGGGACACGUUGCCACAGAACGUGGUGGAACUGAAGAGUCCCCGCCUGGGAUUCCAGUGAAGCCAUCUUUCCCUGAUCACCUGCUGUGCGCUAGGUACCAGGUUCAAUUCUUUUGCCUACCUGAUCACAUGGGAACCUCAAAAUGACUCUGUGAGGUGGGCUGUCUAAUUGAUAUUUUACAAACGAGAAAGCUGAGGCUCGGUAGCUUAAAUCACUUCUCAAAGGGUAUUUGGCUUAUAAAUAGAAUCUUUAGUCCCUAAUUCCAAUGUUCUUUCCUUACCCAUAGCCCCAUCACAGAGGCAGAAAAUGCAGGUUCUCAUUUUAACAGCAGCCCUUAUAGCUCUGGCAAUAGUCAUGUGACGCAAUAGCAGCCAAUGAAACUAGAGGGGAACUCUGCUGAGGGAAUUCUGGGCAAGGUAAAAUCUGUGUAACAAAAGAAAGAGAUAAGAGGAAAAGCUGCAUCUGUUCCUUCCUACCUUUGAACAAACUUGUGUCAAGACAUGAUGUAUGGUGCCUUGGCAGCCAUGUUGCAGUAAUGAGGGGGAGUGCCAGGAGCUCCUCAGAGAAGCCCUGACGUGGUUGAUCCUGCUUGGAAUCACCUCCCUUUAGACGACUUAUUAUGUGAGAAAAAUAAGCACAAGUGGGAGUGUCCUAAUACAUCUCUGCUCCCUUCCACUUCCUCCCAUUACCCUCUCCUUGGGAAGCAUCAGAGACCUCUCUCCGCUUGCUCAGUGAUAACCCAAAUUCCGUACACAGGAGACAAGGCUUUGCACUUCUCAGAUGACCUUAGGUCUGGUUUGUCUGGGACCUUUCUGGGACAGUUCUAGUUUAUGCCUAUGGUUCUGGAGUAAUUUUAAAAGAUGCUAAAAAUAUGAUCCUGGAUGGAUGUUAAAUUCUAUGGCAAAGUGAUUCCUUUUACAGAGACGAAACGCUUAAGUGUGAAUACCACUGUAAGAGAGGGAAUAUAGAGUCUCCAAUUCAUGGUGAAGGGGCAAAUGGCUCGCAUUUUGGGAGAGGGUGUAGGAGGGUGCAGACAGGGUGAAAGGGGUUCCCUGGGGUGUGGAAAGGCCCGGGAAUGAGAAACUGGGUGUUCCAAGAGCAAGUGUUACCCACUCCCUAGAUUUUCCAGUGUUCUACUCUGCUCCUAAGAAAUACAAAGCCUCUGUUGCUGUGCUUUCUUUCUUUCCCUGCUUCCUCUCCUUUUAAAUAGUCCCAAAUCUACCUUACACCAGCAACCCUGGGCUUCUUGGAACCUACCGCUUGGCAUAAAGUCGCAAACUCUUGCCUGGAUAACUCGGCUGUUUUGAUGACAUCUUUCCUAGGUCUCUAUAAGAUUGACAAAGAUAUUAUGUACAGUGAUAAAGCCACUCUCAGCCAUGCUAUUUCAAGUCGGGUUGUUUCCCAGACCUUUUUGGACCCCUCAAAACCUGAAGUUAUUUGGAACACACCCCACCCCACCCCCUCCUUAUCAUGGGCACUCCCUGACCCUGAAUAAUGACAAUCAGGCCUGCCUCUGCUCCUCCGCCCAUCAAUUGAUGUUUUACCUGCCUCCUGUGCUAAUAAAAACAAGUCACAAAUAGGGCUGCUUACCCAUCCUGGCAACAAGUAUUUCAAUGCAUAACUUAGUCUUGAUUUAAAUUAUAGAGGCUCAUUAUAUGUGAGAAAACCGGGCUGCCCCAUAAGCCUAUUAGAAUGAUGAGCUGUGUGCCGGCAGCCCCACUAGCUGUCCCUGGGGACUUGAAUCUAGCACUAGAAUGAGCCCUUGUGCUCCGGGCAGCAGCACAAAGAUGUGAGACAGGCAGCCAGAGAGGGCUGCGGUUCCCAGCCUUCCUGCUGGGACAGGGGACAGGCGGGGGUGUGACCAAGGAAGGAUCCCGUUCUUCCUGAU
rnacentral:lncRNA from 1 species